rnacentral:tRNA from 1 species
CGCCAUGUAGCUGAACUGGAACGCCUGUGAGGGUAAACAGCGCCGGAUUUGUAAUCCGGAGAAUGUGGGUUCGAGUCCCACCGUGGCGACCA